CAAUAGCGUAUAUUUAAGUUGCUGCAGUUAAAAAGCUCGUAGUUGGAUUUCGGGUGGGAAUGGCCGGUCCGCCGUUUCGGUGUGCACUUGCUACGCCCACCUUGCUGCCGGGGACGUGCUCUUGAGUUCACGCUCGGGACACGGAGUCGGCGAGGUUACUUUGAGUAAAUUAGAGUGUUCAAAGCAGGCCUACGCUCUGAAUACAUUAGCAUGGAAUAACACGAUAGGACUCUGGCCUAUCUUGUUGGUCUGUAGGACCGGAGUAAUGAUUAAGAGGGACAGUCGGGGGCAUUCGUAUUUCAUUGUCAAAGGUGAAAUUCUUGGAUUUAUGAAAGACGAACUACUGCGAAAGCAUUUGCCAAGGAUGUUUUCAUUGA
rnacentral:rRNA from 1 species